rnacentral:rRNA from 1 species
UACGAAGGUGGCAAGCGUUGUUCGGAUUUACUGGGCGUAAAGGGCGCGUAGGCGGCCAUCUAAGUCAGACGUGAAAUCUCUCGGCUCAACCGAGAAACGUCGGCUGAUACUGCCGUUCUUGAGGGAUGCAGAGGAGACUGGAAUUCCCGGUGUAGCGGUGAAAUGUGUAGAGAUCGGGAGGAACACCGGUGGCGAAGGCGGGUCUCUGGGCAUUUCCUGACGCUGAGGCGCGAAAGCGUGGGGAGC